CUUAGGGAGUAGGCUUUGUUUGUUUUCACUGUGCCCCAGUUUGACCUUACUAUUCCCUGACCCUGGAAUGCUGGCGUGUGCAGAGGUGCUGUGGGCCAGGCCUCCUUCGCGGCUGGGAGGAGAGGAUCCAGGCCCUGGAUGCGAGGAAGCCGGGUCAGGAGUCAAUGAGUCGCUCCCUCCCUGAUUCCCUCCCUUUCUCGAACUGUCUUAAGAGAUAGCCAGCGUGGGUGCAGGGGCCUGCAGGGCUGAGGCCCGCUGAAGGCGAGCAGCCUGUCCCGUGUUCACGGCUACACAGAGACGUGUGGACCCCAAGCUCAGAGCCUGCGCUGCCUGUGCGCAGGGCCCAGGGGGCACUCGGCCCGCCCGCACAGGUCUUUUCUCAGAGACCCAAGCUGGUAGAAUCUGGGUACCCACACACCCUGAGGACUAGCAUUUCCCACACUGAUGAAUGCCCACUCCAAAGAGCCACCACCUGAGAGUGGCCCCUGUCCCAGUUGCUGCCCUGCCCAUCCUUGUCUCCCCAGGUUCGAGGCCUCAUACACAGGGACUCAAGAACACACCUCUGUCAGUUUAGCCAGAGAAGUAUGUCUCAAGUGCAUACGUGCAAAAUCAUUUUACUUGCCUGCAUGCAAUUGUUCAUCAUCCAUCCAUUACCUAGAGGACGAAGUCUGAGUUUGUGCGUGUGUAAAUCUCUCCACUAGCUCCACCUAGCCUGUCUGCUACCAUUUCCCUGGUGUCCAGCCAGAACUGGUGACAGUCUCCCAAGCAGGCAGAUCCUGCUGCACUUCUGGUCAAGAUGGAGCAGUGUACGUGGUGCAGCCACUGUAGAAAACAGUGUGGACAUUCCUUGAAACAUUAAAAAUAGAACUACUGUAUGAUUCAGUAAUUCCACUUCUGGGUAUUUUAAGGGAACAAAAUCGCUAUCUCGAAAAAAUAGCUGCACCCGCAUGUUCAUUGCAACAUUAUUCACAAUAGCCAAGAUGUGGAAGUAACCUAAGUGUCCAUCAAUGGACAAAUUGAUAUAAAAGUUGUGCUGUAUAUAUUCAAUGGAAUAUUACUCAGCUAUAAAAAGGGGGAAAUGCUGCCAUUUGUGACAACAUGGAUGACCCCUGAGGACAUUAUGCUCAGUGAAAUAAGCCAGACAGAAAAACAAAUACUGUAUGAUCUCAUUUAUAUGUGGAAUCUAGAAAAGCUGAACUCAUAGAUUCGGAGAAUAGAUUAGUAGUUGCCAGAGGCGGGAAGCAAUGAGUAAAGGGGCUCAAAAGGUACAAAUUUCCAGUUAAAAGAUAAAUAAGUCCUGGAAAUGUAACAUACUUCCUGGUGACUGUAGUUAACAACACUGUAUUGUAUAUUUGAAAGUUGCUAAGAGAGUAAAUCUCAAAAAUUCUCAUCAAAAGGAAAAAAAUUGUAACUAUGCAUGAUGACGGAUGUCAACUAAACUUAUUGUAGUGAUUAUUUUGCAAUAUAUACAACUAUCAAAUCAUUGCGUUGUAUACCUGAAACUAAUAUAAUGUUAUAUGUCAAUUAUAUCUCAAUUAAAAAAAAAAAGAGUGUUGAGUUCUCUAUUCCAACCACAAAGCCAUGAUGAAUAAGAAACAUUUUAAAAGAUAACCCAA